rnacentral:sRNA from 1 species
CUUAAAAUCCUGUUUCUAAAACAUACAAUGAGUGCUAGAGCAUUGAAUGAUGUCUUAGUGAGAAUAACUAAUUAGAUGUCAAGACUCUAGAGUUGAUUGACAGGUGUCAUUUAGAUUGCCCCCACUCUAAAGACAUCUCAGUGCAACUGGUGGAGAAUACUCAUUAUACAAAGGUUCUUAUCUUUUAAUAAUGGUACUUAGUAUGUUCACUAGGAUAUUAAUGGACACUAUAGAAAAUCAUUAAAAUAGAAAGCAAUUUUUUCAAGUAUCAGAACUUGAUAUGUGUGUGUGAUAUGUAUUUCAUUUACAUAUAGCAUAUAUUAUUUUAGACAAACAUUACAUAUGAUGCCCUAUGUUGGCUCCUUCUCCUCCUCCUCCUAGGUGCAUCCUCUCCUAAUGGGGCCAGACAAGACAGACAAGUUUUGGGAACAGGAUCCACAGUAGGCAUCAAAUUCAGGGAGAGCUGCCACUCCAGUUGUUGACAGACCUGCAUGAUGAUGCACUUCUGCUACCUAUGUGCAGGGGGCCUAGGGCCAACCAUGUGUGCCCUUUGAUUGGUGCCUCAGUCUCUGAGAGCCCGCAAGGGUUCAGGUUACAGGCCAUCAUCAUCGGAAGCCAAGGCAGGAAGUCAAGGAAGAACCCACAGUCAGGAACUGAAAUAGAACCAUGGAGGGAAGCUGCUAACUGAGUUGAUCCUCGUUGGUCCUCAUGUUUCAGGAGAAUUCUUAUUUUGAAACAACACAGAACUACAAGAAUGGGAGUCCCAUUACCCACAGUGAGAUUUAGAAGUGCUGCUCUAGAAGAAAUGGGUUUGUGGACAUAUGCUGCCAUGCCCAGUCAUACACGAGCUCUGGAAAUCUGACCUCAGGGCUUCCUAUUUGUGUGCUUUUAAGCACUGAGACAUCUCCUAGCUGACGUAUUAACAUUCUUAAACAAGAAUAUGAGAUCUCCACCUGCUCACCUCAUCCUUCUUGCAGCUGGCUGAGAAUUUAGCAAAGGAAAGUGACAAGAAUCGGGUAUUCGAAACUUGUUUCAGGUUCCUGUUUGCAGCAUCGGUUUUUAUCGGUGUGGGAGACUUCUCCAGCAGACUCUUCCUGCUUUCAAGCUCUUGUUUCCUCUGGUACUUUCCAGUUGGUCUGUUUCAGAGUUCCUCCACAACAGAGCCGCAGCCUU